rnacentral:misc_RNA from 1 species
UUUCCGUAGGUGAACCUGCGGAAGGAUCAUUCAUAAUAAAGUGUUUUAUGGCCCUUUUUCCAAAUCCAUAUCCACCUUGUGUGCAAUGUUAGAUCUCGUCAAUCUUGGCGAGAUUUGUAUACAUCAACUCAUUCUUUAACUAAUUUGUCUGAAAAAUAUUAUGAAUACUUAAUUCAAAAUACAACUUUCAACAACGGAUCUCUUGGCUCUC